rnacentral:misc_RNA from 1 species
GUACAUCCAUCGCGGCAUCGCCGCGCGUCAUUUCCAGCGCACUUUUGUGCUGGCCGACGGGAUGUAUGUCAUCGGCGCAGACCUGAAGAACGGCCUGCUGUCGAUCGAUCUGGCUCGUCCCGAGCCUGAACGGGUCGUUAAGACGAUAGCCAUCAAUGAGCACGAAUAAUGGAACGAGUAGCGGACUCGACCGCUUAACAACUGCAAGGAGUCGAGACCAUGACUGAAGGUAGUGUCAUCUUUGAGCCCGCCGUCUC